AAGACCUUGCACUUUUGGAGCGGCCGAUGUCUGAUUAGCUAGUUGGUGGGGUAAUGGCCUACCAAAGCUUCGAUCAGUAGCUGGUCUGAGAGGACGGCCAGCCACACUGGGACUGAGACACGGCCCAGACUCCUACGGGAGGCAGCAGUGGGGAAUUUUGGACAAUGGGCGCAAGCCUGAUCCAGCCAUGCCGCGUGAGUGAAGAAGGCCUUCGGGUUGUAAAGCUCUUUCAGCCGGGAAGAAAAGGUUGCGACUAAUAAUCGCAAUUCAUGACGGUACCGAAAGAAGAAGCACUGGCUAACUACGUGCCAGCAGCCGCGGUAAUACGUAGGGUGCGAGCGUUAAUCGGAAUUACUGGGCGUAAAGGGUGCGCAGGCGGUUUUGUAAGUCAGAUGUGAAAUCCCCGGGCUUAACCUGGGAACU
rnacentral:rRNA from 1 species